GGAAUUGUAGGCAUAUUUUUAAGGAUACAGUAAGAUGCUUGUGGUCUUGUGUGCAAAGUUGAAUAAGGAAUUUUGUACAAGUACUUCCUAAUUGUGACACUGAUGUAUCGUAUCAUUCAGAAAAUUUUCUGAAAUAAAUGUGAUUUGAAAAUUAGCUUGCCUGUGGAUUAAUAAGAGUACGGCUAAUUAGCUUGCCUUUGGAUUAAUAAGAGUACGGC
rnacentral:misc_RNA from 1 species